AUCAUCGUCGCAGCUGAUGCAGCCACGCCGCGUGCGUGAUGACGGCUUCGGGUUGUAAACCGCUUUCGCCUGGGACGAAGCGUGAGUGUCUGUAUGGGUUGGGAUGACCGGACCGCUCAUGCCACCCCGGGCAAAUAUAUGCCAGCAGCCGCGGUAAUAA
rnacentral:rRNA from 1 species